rnacentral:misc_RNA from 1 species
AAGUCGUAACAAGGUUUCCGUAGGUGAACCUGCGGAAGGAUCAUUAUCGUAUUACACGAGCACGAAGAGCUGUCGCUGACUCCGCAAGGAGGUCGUGCACGCUCCGAGUGUUCUUUACAUCCAUCUCACCCUUGUGCAUCUUCGCGUGUGUCCCUUUCCUUUAUGGAGAAGGGCUCACGUUUUUACACAAACCCCCAUUUUACAAGUGUUAGAAUGUCUCAUUUGCGAUUAAACGCAAUUAAUACAACUUUCAACAACGGAUCUCUUGGCUCUC